rnacentral:ncRNA from 1 species
AGACGGUGCCCCGCGAGGGGAUCAAAAGGGAACACGGUGCCGGGCCUCGCGCCCCAAUCCGCGGCUGCCCCCGCAACUGUGAUCGGCGAGCCGACGGCCUCGAUACCACUGGGAAACCGGGAAGGUGGCCGGAGACGAAGAACCGAGAGCCAGGAAACCUGCCGUCAU